GGAGACUUCAGGGCCCAGAGCAUGCCCGUCAGCAAAGUCUCCCCUGGCUUCUGCAGAAGAACUCUGGUCAUCCAGGUGAGGGACCACAGGCCAGCCAGCUGUUCCUUCCAGACGUCUCCAGAAACCUCUAUGAGUCCCUUGGAAGGUAACAAACUCAGACCAAGGAUUUGGUCCUUGCUUGUUGGGUGGCCAGGAAAUAACAGCUUUGCACAGGCUGCUCAAGGUGGUGAGAGAAAGACCUAUAGCCCCUUGCCUGAAUCCAAACCACUGUUUUUUGGCUAUUACAAGAUAAUUUAUAAGUGACUUAUUUGUAUGCUGCAUACUAUUUUUUGCUGCUAUACAUUUUAAUUUCCAAUGUUAUUUUGGGUGACUUAAAGGAAGUGGCUGGGAAAGAAAGCUUUGGCUUGACAUACGGAAACUGCUACUUAACCUAUACAGAAUAAGAAUAUGGGCUUUGGAGAGGACAGAUCAG
rnacentral:lncRNA from 1 species